UCAACCCUCAAGCCCCGGCUUGGUGUUGGAGACCUGGCGAGGCUUCGGCCUCCGCCGCUCCGAAAAACAAUGACGGCGUCCGGUGGAUUCCUGGUACAAUGAGCUUUCCAAGCACGUAUCGUGGUUCCCGGGGGCUGGUCUGACCCCAAAUCUUCUAA
rnacentral:misc_RNA from 1 species